GACGAACGCUGGCGGCGUGCUUAACACAUGCAAGUCGAACGGAAAGGCCCUGCUUUUGUGGGGUGCUCGAGUGGCGAACGGGUGAGUAACACGUGAGUAACCUGCCCUUGACUUUGGGAUAACUUCAGGAAACUGGGGCUAAUACCGGAUAGGAGCUCCUGCUGCAUGGUGGGGGUUGGAAAGUUUCGGCGGUUGGGGAGGGACUCGCGGCUUAUCACCUUGUUGGUGGGGUAGUGGCUUACCAAGGCUUUGACGGGUAGCCGGCCUGAGAGGGUGACCGGCCACAUUGGGACUGAGAUACGGCCCAGACUCCUACGGGAGGCAGCAGUGGGGAAUAUUGCACAAUGGGCGGAAGCCUGAUGCAGCAACGCCGCGUGCGGGAUGACGGCCUUCGGGUUGUAAACCGCUUUCGCCUGUGACGAAGCGUGAGUGACGGUAAUGGGUAAAGAAGCACCGGCUAACUACGUG
rnacentral:rRNA from 1 species